CAUUCCCUACGGGGCGCAGCAGUGGGGAAUAUUGCACAAUGGGGGAAACCCUGAUGCAGCAACGCCGCGUGAGUGAAGAAGUAUUUCGGUAUGUAAAGCUCUAUCAGCAGGGAAGAAAAUGACGGUACCUGACCAAGAAGCCCCGGCUAACUACGUGCCAGCAGCCGCGGUAAUACGUAGGGGGCAAGCGUUAUCCGGAUUUACUGGGGGUAAAGGGAGCGUAGGCGGCUAUGUAAGCCAGAAGUGAAAGCCCGAGGCUCAACCACGGGACUGCUUUUGGAACUACAUGGCUUGAUUGCAGGAGG
rnacentral:rRNA from 1 species